rnacentral:rRNA from 1 species
UACGUAGGGGGCAAGCGUUGUCCGGAAUCAUUGGGCGUAAAGCGCGUGUAGGCGGCUCGGUAAGUCUGCUGUGAAAGUCCAGGGCUCAACCCUGGGAUGCCGGUGGAUACUGUCGAGCUCGAGUCCGGAAGAGGCGAGUGGAAUUCCUGGUGUAGCGGUGAAAUGCGCAGAUAUCAGGAAGAACACCGAUGGCGAAGGCAGCUCUCUGGGACGGUACUGACGCUGAGACGCGAAAGCUAGGGGAGCGAACGGG